GCGUGGGCUCAGCUGGGAGAGCGUUAGACUGAAGCUCUAAAGGUCCCUCGUUCAAUCCUGGGCAAUGGG
rnacentral:tRNA from 1 species